rnacentral:rRNA from 1 species
UACGGGGGGGGCAAGCGUUGUUCGGAAUUACUGGGCGUAAAGGGUUUGUAGGUGGUCUGUUAAGUCAGACGUGAAAUCCCUCAGCUUAACUGGGGAACUGCGUCUGAGACUGAUGGACUUGAGGGCAGGAGAGGAACGCGGAAUUCCAGGUGUAGCGGUGAAAUGCGUAGAGAUGGGGGAGAACACUCGUGGCGAAGGCGGCCAGCUAGACCAGUUCUGACACUGAGGCGCGACAGCGUGGGGAGCAAACAGG